rnacentral:misc_RNA from 1 species
GAUGAAGAACGCAGCGAAAUGCGAUACUUGGUGUGAAUUGCAGAAUCCCGUGAACCAUCGAGUCUUUGAACGCAAGUUGCGCCCGAAGCCAUUAGGCCGAGGGCACGCCUGCCUGGGCGUCACACGUCGUUGCCCCCCCAUCUACUCCUUCGGGAUUGCGGGGGGCGGAUGAUGGCCUCCCGUGCGCCUCGCCGCGCGGUUGGCAUAAAUGCCAAGUCCUCGGCGACGCACGCCACGACAAUCGGUGGUUGCGAAACCUCGGUUGCCCGUCGUGUGCGGUCGUCGCGCAUCGAGGGCUCGAAAAAAUUGCCGGGUUCCGGCUCGGCUUUCAACGCGAACCCAGGUCAGGCGGGGUUACCCGCUGAAUUUAAGCAUAUCAAUAAGCGGAGGA